rnacentral:rRNA from 1 species
AACCCCUGCCCCUAGUUACAUGUGUUUAGGGGGACUGCCCGGGACAACUGGGAGGAAGGUGGGGAUGACGUCAAGUCAGCAUGGCCUUUAUGCCCAGGGCUACACACACGCUACAAUGGCCGGGACAAUGGGUUGCUAAGCCGUGAGGCGGAGCCAAUCCCCCAAACCCGGUCUCAGUUCGGAUUGCAGGCUGCAACCCGCCUGCAUGAAGCUGGAGUUGCUAGUAACCGCAGGUCAGCCAUACUGCGGUGAAUACGUUCCCGGGCCUUGCACACACCGCCCGUCACGUCAUGGGAGCUGGCAACGCCUGAAGCCGGUGGGCCAACCCGAAAGGGAGGCAGCCGUCGAAGGCGGGGCUGGUGACUGGGACG